UUCUUUUUGGAAUUUGUGACAUGAGUCGAAAGUUUGCCGGCUAAUAAUUUGAUUGUCUAAACUUCGAUGGGCAAUCUGAAGGUACCGUUGAAAAGUUUUUGACGUUAUCUCUUUAAUGAUACUUAUAUUGUUGAAUUUGGUAACCGGAAGUGGUAUAAAAAUAGUAUGAAAGUUGAUAUCAUAAAACUCAAUAUUUUUUUUUUUCGACCACUUUCGGUGACC
rnacentral:lncRNA from 1 species